GACAGGUGCCUGAGUGGUUGAAAGGACCGGUCUUGAAAACCGGCAUAGGUUUACGCCUAUCGUGGGUUCGAAUCCCACCCUGUCC
rnacentral:tRNA from 1 species